CAGCAGGAUCUGUUUUGUCAAAUGAGGAAGUAAACUACAUUAAGUGAAAAACACAGUCAUUGUUGUGGACUGACUUGAGACAGAGGUGGAUUUGAGAAAAUUAAUUGCUGAGAUGAUUAAUAACUCACUCUGUGGAUCAACAUCUGGAUCUGCUUUUAGAUGAAACCAUGGCCUUCAGAAUGAAUCUCUCUGAAGAACAUGACACACAGAUAAAGACAGUCAAGAGUCUGAUUCAGGAGGGUGAGUCAGAUUUAGCUGAACACAUCGAUGUGUCUGUGAGGAAAAACCAACCGAUGGAUCUUUCAGAUCUCUGCAGAGAGGAAGACUCUUCUGUUGAGCGCAGG